rnacentral:rRNA from 1 species
CCUACGGGAGGCAGCAGUGAGGAAUAUUGGUCAAUGGACGAGAGUCUGAACCAGCCAAGUCGCGUGAAGGAAGACUGCCCUAUGGGUUGUAAACUUCUUUUGUAAAGGAGUAAAACCAGGCACGUGGGCCUUUUUGGAUGUACUUUCUGAAUAAGGAUCGGCUAACUCCGUGACAGCAGCCGCGGUAAUGCGGAGGAUCCGCGCUUUAUCCGGAUUUAUUGGGUUUAAAGGGAGCGUAGAUGGGUUGUUAAGUCAGAUGUGAAAGUGUGGGGCUCAACCGGAAAAUUGCAAUUGAUACUGGCGGUCUAGAGUGCAGUUGAGGUAGGCGGAAUUCGUGGUGUAGCGGUGAAAUGCUUAGAUAUCACGAAGAACCCCGAUUGCGAAGGCAGCUUACUAAACUGUGACUGACAUUGAUGCUCGAAAGUGUGGGUAUCAAACAGGAUUAGAUACCCCAGUAGUC